rnacentral:rRNA from 1 species
UACGUAGGGUCCAAGCGUUAUCCGGAAUCACUGGGCGUAAAGCGUGCGUAGGUGGGUUGUUAAGUGCAAUGCGAAAUCCUGUGGCUCAACCAUAUGGACUGUAUUGCAUACUGGCUACCUUGAGGACAUGAGAGGCAAGUGGAAUUACCGGUGUAGCAGUGAAAUGCGUAGAUAUCGGUAGGAACACCAGUGGCGAAGGCGAGUUUCUGGACAGUUACUGACGCUGAGGCACGAAGGCCAGGGGAGCAAACGGG